rnacentral:rRNA from 1 species
CAGUCGCCACGGUAAAACGAGGGGGGCAAGCGUUGUUCGGAAUUAUUGGGCGUAAAGGGUGCGUAGGCGGUUUGGCAAGUUUGGUGUGAAAUCUUCGGGCUCAACUCGAAGCCUGCAUCGAAAACUGCCGGGCUUGAGUAUGGGAGAGGUGAGUGGAAUUUCCGGUGUAGCGGUGAAAUGCGUAGAGAUCUGGAGGAAUACCGAUGGCGAAGGCAGCCAUCUGGCCUAAUACUGACGCUGAGGUACGAAAGCAUGGGGAGCAAACAGGAUUAGAUACCCCGGUAGUCCCUGUCUCUUAUAC